CCAAUAGCGUAUAUCAAAGUUGUUGCAGUUAAAAAGCUCGUAGUUGAAUUUCGGGGUCAGUAGGUCGGUCGUGCCACUGGUAUGAACUGGUUUUACUGAUUCCUCCCUCUUGAAGAACUGUAAUGCCAUUAAUUUGGUGUUGCAGGGAAUCAGGACUGUUACUUUGAAAAAAUUAGAGUGUUUAAAGCAGGCUUUAGCUUGAAUACAUUAGCAUGGAAUAAUGAAAUAGGACGUUUGAUCCUAUUUUGUUGGUUUCUAGGAUUGACGUAAUGAUUAAUAGGUAUAGUUGGGGGCAUUAGUAUUCAAUUGUCAGAGGUGAAAUUCUUGGAUUUAUUGAAGACUAACUACUGCGAAAGCAUUUGCCAAGGAAGUUUUCAUUAAUCAAGAACGAAAGUUAGGGGAUCGAAGACGAUCAGAUACCGUCGUAGUCUUAACCAUAAACUAUGCCGACUAGGGAUCGGAUGAUGUUAAUUUUUUAAUGACUCAUUCGGCGCCUUACG
rnacentral:rRNA from 1 species